rnacentral:rRNA from 1 species
UACGUAGGGACCAAGCGUUGUUCGGAUUUACUGGGCGUAAAGGGCGCGUAGGCGGCUUGACAAGUCACUUGUGAAAUCUCCGGGCUUAACUCGGAACGGCCAAGUGAAACUGUCAUGCUAGAGUGCAGAAGGGGCAAUCGGAAUUCUUGGUGUAGCGGUGAAAUGCGUAGAUAUCUGGAGGAAUACCGGUGGCGAAGGCGGCAUCCUGGACCGACAUUGACGCUGACGGAGCGAAAGCUAGGGGAGCAAACGGGG